UACGAGGGGGGCGAGCGUUGUUCGGAAUUAUUGGGCGUAAAGGGUGCGUAGGCGGUUUGGUAAGUCUUAUGUGAAAUCUAUGGGCUCAACUCAUAGACUGCAUGAGAAACUGCCGGGCUUGAGUAUGGGAGAGGUGAGUGGAAUUUCCGGUGUAGCGGUGAAAUGCGUAGAUAUCGGAAGGAACACCAGUGGCGAAAGCGACUUCCUGGUCGAAUACUGACGUUCAUGUGCGAAAGCGUGGGGAGCAAACAG
rnacentral:rRNA from 1 species